UUAAGUUCAGCGGGUAUUCCUACCUGAUCCGAGGUCAACCAGAAAAAUUUGGGGGUUUUACGGCCGGGGGGGCAGCACCUAACAAAAGCGAGAUAAAAAAUUACUACGCUCAGAGGACUACUGCCACUCCGCCAAUUUCUUUGGGGAACUACGGAGGCCGUAGAGUCCCAACAGUAAGCUGUGCUUAGGGGUUGAAAUGA
rnacentral:misc_RNA from 1 species